UACGGAGGGUGCAAGCGUUGUUCGGAAUUACUGGGCGUAAAGGGCGCGUAGGUGGUUGUGUAAGUCAGAUGUGAAAUCCCGAGGCUCAACUUCGGAACUGCAUCUGAUACUGCACGACUCGAGUACAGCAGAGGGAAACGGAAUUCCUGGUGUAGAGGUGAAAUUCGUAGAUAUCAGGAGGAACACCGGUGGCGAAGGCGGUUUCCUGGGCUGAUACUGACACUGAGGCGCGAAAGCGUGGGGAGCAAACAGGAUUAGAUACCCUGGUAGUCCACGCUGUAAACGGUGAGUACUGGGUGUGGGAGGUGUAAUGCCUUCUGUGCCGAAGCUAACGCGUUAAGUACUCCGCCUGGGGAGUACGGCCGCAAGGUUGAA
rnacentral:rRNA from 1 species